rnacentral:pre_miRNA from 1 species
UACAAUUUUUAACUCUUCGUCUUAUUCAAAAUUUUUUGUGAUUGAUAUUUUUGUUUUCAUUAGAUGAUAAAUCAUGAAUAAUACUUUACUUGUGACUAAUUUUUUUCUAAUUUCCUAAAAAUUUUUCAAAUAAGACGGAUGGUCAAACGUUGGACACGAAAACC